rnacentral:rRNA from 1 species
UGGAGAGUGGCGCACGGGUGAGUAACGCGUAGAUAAUCUACCCUUAGGCCUGGGAUAACGUUUCGAAAGGGACGCUAAUACCGGAUAAAACCUUUGAUCGAAUGGUCAGAAGUUGAAAGUUCCGGCGCCUGGGGAUGAGUCUGCGUCCCAUUAGCUAGUUGGUGAGGUAAGAGCUCACCAAGGCAACGAUGGGUAGCGGGUCUGAGAGGAUGAUCCGCCACACUGGCACUGAGACACGGGCCAGACUCC